CAUUUAUAAAUCUAUCAAAUGCCAUGGUUUUGCAUCACAAAAUUCAAAAUCUAAAAAAACUGCAUGAAUGUAUGAUAUAUAUCAUUUCAGAGAACUAUAAAGUUUCAACAACCAGCUCAUAUUCCAAUGAUGAAUGGUCAGUGUACUCUUAUAUGUGGUGUAGAAAAUUGAACAAAAGUCAACUUUGGCACAGAAAAUUGAAAGAUGCAACAUCUAGCCAUAUAGUGGAGGUGACAUUAUAAGCAUUGAUACACUGACCUGUGAGACCCAGCUUUAGUAGAUCUUUUUUUCCUAUUAUUAUUAUUAUUAUUAACAAAAACUGAUAUAAAGUUGAAAAUGAUACUGAG
rnacentral:lncRNA from 1 species